GGUAGCUGAACCUUUGGCUUUCACACACUCUCUGUUUUCUAUUUCACUUCAUUGAACGAGACGAUUUGCGAGCAAUGGCAUCCUUCGAUUCUACCGGAAUUGAUGAAGAUCAGGUUUUAGUGGAAGAGAAGCGCUUUGUGAGACUAUUGACUUUAAACCGAACUAAGCAGUUGAAUGCUCUUUCAUUCACGAUGGUUUCCCGGCUAUUUGAACUCUUUGCGUCUUAUGACGCAGAUCCCAGUGUGAAACUUGUGGUUGUCAAGGGGAAAGGAAGAGCAUUUUGUGCUGGCGGUGAUGUGGCAGCCGUGGUUCAUGACAUUAAAAGGGGUGAUUGGAGAAGAGGUGCUUAUUUCUUCCAGAAAGAGUUCAUCUUAAAUUAUUUGAUGGCAACUUUCAGCAAGCCACAGGUUUCUCUCCUGAAUGGUAUUGUCAUGGGAGGAGGUGCGGGUGUUUCAAUACAUGGUAGAUUCCGUGUUGCAACAGAGAAAUCGGUGUUUGCAAUGCCUGAAACUGCUUUAGGACUCUUCCCAGAUGUUGGUGCUUCUUAUUACUUGUCAAGACUCCCGGGGUUUUUUGGCGAAUAUGUUGGGCUAACAGGUGCCAGGUUGGAUGGUGCUGAAAUGCUU
rnacentral:misc_RNA from 1 species